GCCCGGGUGGCGAAAUUGGUAGACGCACCAUCUUGAGGGGGUGGCGCCUUACGGGCGUAGCGGUUCGAAUCCGCUCCCGGGCACCG
rnacentral:tRNA from 1 species